rnacentral:ncRNA from 2 species
CUUAGAAGUAGAGACGCACCAAAUAUCAGUAGUGAUCAGUAGGGUGAUUCCAUUGAUCGAUCACGAAAGGAUUUGGUACCGAAGUGGUUUGAUUUAUCACGAUCAACUGCUGGGGUUGUGCUGAAUAGGUACAAUACUGCCGUAGUAUUUCCUGAUAUGGAUAUUCGGAAUCGUUACUAUGGAGUGCUACUGAUAGG